GUAGGUGGCAAGCGUUGUCCGGAAUUAUUGGGCGUAAAGCGCGCGCAGGCGGUCCUUUAAGUCUGAUGUGAAAGCCCACGGCUCAACCGUGGAGGGUCAUUGGAAACUGGGGGACUUGAGUACAGAAGAGGAAAGCGGAAUUCCAAGUGUAGCGGUGAAAUGCGUAGAGAUUCGGAGGAACACCAGUGGCGAAGGCGGCUUUCUGGUCUGUAACUGACGCUGAGGCGCGAAAGCGUGGGGAGCAAACAGGGAUUAGAUACCCUGGUAGUCCACGCCGUAAACGAUGAGUGCUAAGUGUUAGGGGGUUUCCCGCCCCCUUAGUGCUGCAGCUAACGCAUUAAGCACUCCGCCUGGGGAGUACGGCCGCAAGGCUG
rnacentral:rRNA from 1 species